GUUUUGAUCAUGGCUCAGGACGAACGCUGGCGGCGUGCUUAACACAUGCAAGUCGAACGAUGAACCACUUCGGUGGGGAUUAGUGGCGAACGGGUGAGUAACACGUGGGCAAUCUGCCCUUCACUCUGGGACAAGCCCUGGAAACGGGGUCUAAUACCGGAUACUGACCCUCGCAGGCAUCUGCGAGGUUCGAAAGCUCCGGCGGUGAAGGAUGAGCCCGCGGCCUAUCAGCUUGUUGGUGAGGUAAUGGCUCACCAAGGCGACGACGGGUAGCCGGCCUGAGAGGGCGACCGGCCACACUGGGACUGAGACACGGCCCAGACUCCUACGGGAGGCAGCAGUGGGGAAUAUUGCACAAUGGGCGAAAGCCUGAUGCAGCGACGCCGCGUGAGGGAUGACGGCCUUCGGGUUGUAAACCUCUUUCAGCAGGGAAGAAGCGA
rnacentral:rRNA from 2 species